CACCCACCCUUGCCCUUUCUCCACCCCACACUCCAGACAAACGUCUGGGGCCCUGAAGAGAUCACACAGCCCAGAGGGGGUGGCCUGAGUGAGGGCUGGCAGCUGCCUACCCAGCGCCAGCAGGAACCCCCAGGCCGGAUGGGUUACAGUGUGGCUGGGCCCGGGUUGCCCUGACCUGACCGCCCCACGCCCACCCCCACCACCGCCGCAAAUGUUUCCUUCUUCAGGAGCAGUUUCCAGCUUCCAUCUCCCUCCGUCUGACUGCUGGGGAGGAGCCAGGGACCACCGCCCAGGUGGACGCACAAGCCUCCGCCGGCCGCCGUCCUGACUGCCCAGCGCAGCUGCAGAGGGUCCCCAGCCAAGGUCCACCUCAGCCCUCCCUCCCUGAGCCAGCUGGGACCACAGCUCUGCCCUGCCAGGUGCCAGCAGAUCAGCCACCUGCUGUUCCUCAGGGAAGAGACCAGGGCUGCCGGGUGAGCCAGGCCUGGGAGAGCCAUUGCCAAGUUAGAUAACUUGGCCCGAGUCACACAGCUGCCAAGCGUCAGACCCAGACCGUGAUCCCCGGACGAAUGGCUCCCCAGCCCCCAGUUACACAAAGACAAAGAUUCGUCCUGAGGCAGAAAACGGUCCAUCGGAAGUCAGGAGAGCAGACCGUUGGACCAUGGUUUUAUAGGGUUCGAAGCACUUUUGUGUAGAGUUUGUUAAAGUAACUGUGAAGUCCUUCCUGGAAAAGGAAGUUCCAGAGAAGGCGGAUCAACUCCGUGCGAGAAUGAAAGUCUGAAGGUGGAAUGUGCUAUCAGAAGAUGAGACAGAGUGGGCCACCACUGUUACAAGAGGGGGGCCAUGACCUUGACAAGGACAGGCUGGGGCAGAGAACACAGCAUGGGCCAUGGCACGGACCCUGGACGGGAGCAACAGCAUUCGAAAGAGAGAAGCUGGUGCCAUCAGCAGAACACCUGCAGCCAAUCAAAGAAAAACAC